CAUUUGAGUAAUAAAACUCACAGAAUAUUAGCUACUCAGAAGGUUUUAUUUCAUAUCUGAGAGGCUCUCCAAUUUCUAAAAUCACAGAGAUUUCCUAUUUAAGAAACAGGAUCUUGCUUCUAUUACCCUGACUGGAGUGGAGUGGCUUGGUCAUACCUCACUGCAGACUAGGACUUCUGGGCUCAAAUUAUCCUACCACCUCAGCCUCCCCAGCAGAGAGAAGACCAAGAAAUGACUGAUAGGCAACCAACAAGAAUACCUGUGAAAUGGAGAGUAGAAUGUUUGAGAACUGACUGACCAUCCAGUGGCAACUGAGAAAAGAUACAGAAUGGCACAAUGCAUAAGAAUUCACCAAUCAAAAAAUCUGCUGUCUUCAAGAGGCUCAUCUGGCAUAUAAGGACUCACAUAAACUUAAGG